CGUGUUGUGAGAUGUUGGGUUAAGUCCCGCAACGAGCGCAACCCUUGUCCUUAUUUGCUUCCUCGUAUGAGGUGCUCUAUAAGGAGACUGCCGGCGACAAGCCGGAGGAAGGAGGGGACGACGUCAGGUCCUCAUGGCCCUUAUGGGUAGGGCUUCACACGUCAUACAAUGGUGCGUACAGAGGGUUGCCAACCCGCGAGGGGGAGCUAAUCCCAGAAAACGCAUCGUAGUCCGGAUCGUAGUCUGCAACUCGACUACGUGAAGCUGGAAUCGCUAGUAAUCGCGGAUCAGCAUGCCGCGGUGAAUACGUUCCCGGGUCUUGUACACACCGCCCGUCACGCCACGGAAGCUGGUGUUUUCGGAAGUCCUCAAGCUAACCCGCAAGGGAGGCAGAGGCCGAUGAAAACAUCGGUAACUGGGGC
rnacentral:rRNA from 1 species